ACUCGCCUGCACGAAGUCGGAAUUGCUAGUAAUCGUAGGUCAGCAUACUACGGUGAAUACGUUCCCGGGCCUUGUACACACCGCCCGUCACACCAUGGGAGUCGGAAAUGCCCGAAGUCAGUGACCCAACCGUAAGGAGGGAGCUGCCGAAGGUGGAGCCGGUAACUGGGGUGAAGUCGUAACAAGGUAGC
rnacentral:rRNA from 1 species